rnacentral:rRNA from 1 species
AGAGUUUGAUCCUGGCUCAGGAUGAACGCUAGCUACAGGCUUAACACAUGCAAGUCGAGGGGCAGCAUGGUCUUAGCUUGCUAAGGCCGAUGGCGACCGGCGCACGGGUGAGUAACACGUAUCCAACCUGCCGUCUACUCUUGGACAGCCUUCUGAAAGGAAGAUUAAUACAAGAUGGCAUCAUGAGUCCGCAUGUUCACAUGAUUAAAGGUAUUCCGGUAGACGAUGGGGAUGCGUUCCAUUAGAUAGUAGGCGGGGUAACGGCCCACCUAGUCUUCGAUGGAUAGGGGUUCUGAGAGGAAGGUCCCCCACAUUGGAACUGAGACACGGUCCAAACUCCUACGGGAGGCAGCAGUGAGGAAUAUUGGUCAAUGGACGAGAGUCUGAACCAGCCAAGUAGCGUGAAGGAUGACUGCCCUAUGGGUUGUAAACUUCUUUUAUACGGGAAUAAAGUGAGCCACGUGUGGCUUUUUGUAUGUACCGUAUGAAUAAGGAUCGGCUAACUCCGUGCCAGCAGCCGCGGUAAUACGGAGGAUCCGAGCGUUAUCCGGAUUUAUUGGGUUUAAAGGGAGCGUAGGCGGGUUGUUAAGUCAGUUGUGAAAGUUUGCGGCUCAACCGUAAAAUUGCAGUUGAUACUGGCGACCUUGAGUGCAACAGAGGUAGGCGGAAUUCGUGGUGUAGCGGUGAAAUGCUUAGAUAUCACGAAGAACUCCGAUUGCGAAGGCAGCUUACUAGAUUGUAACUGACGCUGAUGCUCGAAAGUGUGGGUAUCAAACAGGAUUAGAUACCCUGGUAGUCCACACGGUAAACGAUGAAUACUCGCUGUUUGCGAUAUACUGCAAGCGGCCAAGCGAAAGCGUUAAGUAUUCCACCUGGGGAGUACGCCGGCAACGGUGAAACUCAAAGGAAUUGACGGGGGCCCGCACAAGCGGAGGAACAUGUGGUUUAAUUCGAUGAUACGCGAGGAACCUUACCCGGGCUUAAAUUGCAGAUGAAUUACGGUGAAAGCCGUAAGCCGCAAGGCAUCUGUGAAGGUGCUGCAUGGUUGUCGUCAGCUCGUGCCGUGAGGUGUCGGCUUAAGUGCCAUAACGAGCGCAACCCUUAUCGUUAGUUACCAUCAGGUUAUGCUGGGGACUCUGUCGAGACUGCCGUCGUAAGAUGUGAGGAAGGUGGGGAUGACGUCAAAUCAGCACGGCCCUUACGUCCGGGGCUACACACGUGUUACAAUGGGGGGUACAGAAGGCAGCUACACGGCGACGUGAUGCUAAUCCCUAAAGCCUCUCUCAGUUCGGAUUGGAGUCUGCAACCCGACUCCAUGAAGCUGGAUUCGCUAGUAAUCGCGCAUCAGCCACGGCGCGGUGAAUACGUUCCCGGGCCUUGUACACACCGCCCGUCAAGCCAUGGGAGCCGGGGGUACCUGAAGUGCGUAACCGCAAGGAGCGCCCUAGGGUAAAACUGGUGACUGGGGCUAAGUCGUAACAAGGUAGCCGUACCGGAAGGUGCGGCUG